UACGGGGGGGCAAGCGUUGUUCGGAAUUACUGGGCGUAAAGGGCUCGUAGGUGGCCAACUAAGUCAGACGUGAAAUCCCUCAGCUUAACUGGGGAACUGCGUCUGAUACUGAUUGGCUUGAGUGCAGGAGAGGAACGCGGAAUUCCAGGUGUAGCGGUGAAAUGCGUAGAUAUCUGGAGGAACACCGGUGGCGAAGGCGGCGUUCUGGACUGCAACUGACACUGAGGAACGAAAGCCAGGGGAGCAAACGGG
rnacentral:rRNA from 1 species